AAAGGUUUAAGUAUCGUAAGGUAAUAUGUUUAGAACUCUAAAUGAAUAAAACUUGAUUAAAUCAUUAGUAUGGGAGCGGCAGCAGGACAUCAAGGAUCGCCACUUCACCCGCAUUGUCUUAUUUUCUUACAUUUUUUAUUUCUUACAGAUGGAAGCCUUAAAUCACCCCUGUCCCUGAUGAACUCUGCCUUUGCCCAUCUGCAGUGGGCCAAUGUCUUCUCUGAACUAUACCUGCUUUGAGGUGAACCAACUUGGGUCACCUCAAAGCAGGGGCUGAAUGAAAGACCACAUUCAUCACACCCUCAAGAGUGACCACUCCUUCUGGUUCCAUUUUCAGCAAUGUCUGGGUGCCACGUGUCCAUGUUACCUCAAAACGAGAAGAAUCAGAAGUUGCUGUGGACACCAAGCAAUUAAUCACUCCAUCACUAUUGGCUUGGAUUUUCAGAGGAGACCUAAGGCUGGUGGAGACAGACAGCUUGCUAUCUAAAAUGCAAACAAAAGCAUCAUCUACAGUCUGCACACCAUUGUGAUCAAUUUGAGCUACAAUCAUGUUGUUUCUCAGCCAAGUCAUGGAGAACAAAUAUCCAGGUAGAUUCUGAGCCUCUAAUCUGCAGUGGAUCUCCAUCAUGUCUCCUUCCU